AGCAGAUCCUCUGCUCAGAGAGCUGCCAGCUCCAAUCAUGGCCCCUACAGCGGCUGCAGCGCUGACUGCAUCUCCACAGCGUCUGGCUGUCAGCAAGCAGCUCAGAAAGCCUCCAGUGGAGAAGUUCAGCAGAGAACCAGCAGCAGCAUGAGAAGCUCACACCUCCUCUGGGUCCAGAGAUCCUAAAACAGCAGCCGGACCUCCAGAUGGAGAAGGCAGACUCCAGGAGAGAGCGCUCGCUGCCUGACACGCUUGCUGCAGCAGCAGCUGUGGAUAAGGGCUACUGCAGGUAGAUCCAGGAGCUGAGAGGCUGACGUCUCUCCUCUGAGAUCCACAGUCCAGAGCAGCAUCAGCAAAGACAGAAGUGGCGCCCUCUGGAGGCUGUGGAGGACACCCGCAGGCUCCUGAAGGAUCAACGGAGAAGAAGAUUUUGGUCAAAGAAGACUGAGGUGAAUAUGGACUUGAUCUUCUGUAAGAACAGAAGGAUUCAAAGAAGAUAACAUCUGGUUUUUUGAGGUGAAAAAGCUGCAAAGAUCAUGUUGGUCAAACAUUUCUGGAUUCUGUCACAUUGAUGGAGUUCUUGUCUGUGUGCUGAAUGUUCCGGCGGUGCAAACAUUUCCUGAGGAAAGAUGCAGAAAUCUUCUUUUAUUUUCACAUUUCCACAGAAGCUGAAUUGCUGUUGAUGCAUAAAGGCUGUUAGAAGUGAAGGAACAUCUGAAAGUUCAUGAUUGGACUCCAUGAACAUUAUUUCAUCCUUCACUUUGAUCAUGUUGAUCAGAUAUGGCAUCUCUAAUCAAUGGAGAUGUUUUUAUGAACUGUUGUCAGUUUCUGAUCAUUCUGUGAUCAUCUGAAUUCAGAUCGGUGUGUUUUAUACAUGUUUUCAUCGUUUUUGAAAAAAAAAACUAUCUCGUUAUGAGAUUAAAGUUGUGCUAAAACCAUAUUGGUUCAAUAAUAUUCAAAUCAAAGUCUUUGGUAUUUUGGUUUGAGUUUUUAGAAAUAGAUGAAGCCAAUUUUCUUCCCUUGAAGAAGAAACUUUGAUCCUUCUGAAGCCAUUAAGAAAACCAUGUGGGUUGUACCACAGACUCAGAGUUUUCUGGUACACUGAUGACUCUGUGAGGUUUCUGGGUUUUAAAAUCAAAUCACAGAUUAACAGAUGAGUUAUUUUCAAUCUAAAACUGCAUCAGUUUGAACUUAUUUCCUAUCGACUGUAUUUUCUACCAUUAAACAUGAUAGAUUUAAAGAUCUUUUUAAGAUGAGUUCUUAAUCAUCUUUAUCUGUUAUUUUAUUGGACUUUACUUGUGAUGAAGUCGACAUAAAAAUGUGUGUUGAUCUUGAUAAGAUCUGUUGUUUGUUGGUCCUCAGGGAAAGUUGUGUUAUCUUGUUGAAUUGAUGUAUCAUCAAUGGUGUGUCUCCAGAUGGAACUUUUAUUGUUUCAUUUGAUACGGGGAAAUAAAAGUAAGAGUUUGUUUGAGAA